CUUCGGUGACAUUUUCGGCCUUCUAUUGUCCUCCUCGGCUGGUUCUCUCAAAUGAGUGUCUGGCGUUCUACACUAGUGUUUGAUGCGGGCAAUCCCUGCUGGGAUGUUUCAUAAAUAAACAUCCAGCUAAGACCUUAACCAUUUACCAGGUGUUACAAUUCAUUGAUGUAUAAAUACAAUUCUGUUAAUAUCUUGUUAAUUAUAAUUUAAAAAAAGCAAUUUUAUAUUUCAGCUACAAACUGUUACAUUUUAUAUAUCUACGAUAUUUAGUCCUCUUACAUCAUAAACAUUAACAAGAAUUAAUUCAGAUAAUAGAAAUAAAAGAGAGGUAAAAACAAUAAAAAUUAUAAUAAUAAUUAUUUCGCAGCGUCCUUUUUAGGAAUAGAUCUAAUUUGUUAGAUGGGUUGUCAGAUGUUGACGGAAAUUGGAAUCAUGAAUCUAUGAUUAAUAGAAUGGAGCCUUAUAGAGCAUAUAUUAGGAGCAAAUAUGUUAAGAAAUUCAAAUGGAUUUUAAUAAAUCAAAUUAAAAAAAGAGCAAUAAAGAAAAGUGAGACCUAUAAGGCUGUCAGAGACAUAGAGGUACCAGAUUGAGUGAGUAAUUUGUUAAAUAAAGGAUUGAAUUGUAUAGUCUCAGAAAAUAUUAAUUUCGACAAAAUUGCAAUGGAUUUAGAGCCUAUUUUGACAGAUGAUGUAACAGUGAAUGGGUUAAGAUGGAAAGUGGCUUUCAAAGUAAAGAGAGAGAAUAAUAGAUGCAAUAAGUGAACAAGUGAUGAUACCAUACUUGGGAAAAUAUGCCAGUGGCCAGAUAGAGAAGGCCUAGUAUGUAUGAGAGAUGAUAAAUGUAAGAAAAUCAUUUUUCUGAAGAAAGAGCAUUACAAUAGUAUACUUGAAGACUUCAUUAGAAAAAGUAUGUCUGAAGAAGUGGACCAAGAUCUGACGAAUAAACUACAAAAGAAAAUUAUCAAACUAAAUAAGGAUCUCAGACUCCUGAAAUUUUUCAGAAACGCAGUUGUCCAGAUCCAUCCUGCCCUUGCCUGUUUGGUUUCCCUAAGUUACUUAAAACUCAAGUUAUAGCAAGACCCAUUUGUGAGAUUCUCAAGAUAUCAUGCUGAAACUUUUAUUUUAUUAUCUUUUUUUAUGAUUAUCAUUGAUAUUUUUUUUUAAAUACAGCACAUAUAUUUUUAUUCUAAUUGAUUAUAUUACUAUAUUAGUGAUUUAUAUUGUUAUUGUAUCAUUGAAUUAAUAUUAUAUUGUUUAAUUUUGAAUGCUUACAUGUAAACUGCUAAACCCUAUAAAUUAAUAACAAGAAUGAUAGCACUAAUAUGCAGUAUUGGGAGGGUUUAACACUUUAAUGUUUGCAAUGAACAGAUGUUUUUGGUUACAUUUGCCAUGUUCGGGUUCUUUUUGUUCUGGAACAUGGAUGUUUUUAAAAUACAUAAUCGAGAAGACACGCAGAUAACCAGAAGCAUGGGCACCACAAGAUCUGCACUGUACAAAGACUAAUAGUGUUCAGCAUGUUUAUUCAUAUUUAUUUUAUUUUAGUUUUAUUGUUGUUAUAUUAUUUUAUAUGUUA
rnacentral:lncRNA from 1 species